rnacentral:rRNA from 2 species
GUUGGGUAGGGGAGCGUUCUGUAAGCCUGUGAAGGUGGCCUGUGAGGGUUGCUGGAGGUAUCAGAAGUGCGAAUGCUGACAUAAGUAACGAUAAAGCGGGUGAAAAGCCCGCUCGCCGGAAGACCAAGGGUUCCUGUCCAACGUUAAUCGGGGCAGGGUGAGUCGACCCCUAAGGCGAGGCCGAAAGGCGUAGUCGAUGGGAAACGGGUUAAUAUUCCCGUACUUGGUGUUACUGCGAAGGGGGGACGGAGAAGGCUAUGUUGGCCGGGCGACGGUUGUCCCGGUUUAAGCGUGUAGGCUGGUUUUCCAGGCAAAUCCGGAAAAUCAAGGCUGAGGCGUGACGACGAGGCACUACGGUGCUGAAGCAACAAAUGCCCUGCUUCCAGGAAAAGCCUCUAAGCAUCAGGUAACAUCAAAUCGUACCCCAAACCGACACAGGUGGUCAGGUAGAGAAUACCAAGGCGCUUGAGAGAACUCGGGUGAAGGAACUAGGCAAAAUGGUGCCGUAACUUCGGGAGAAGGCACGCUGACACGUAGGUGAAGUGAUUUACUCAUGGAGCUGAAGUCAGUCGAAGAUACCAGCUGGCUGCAACUGUUUAUUAAAAACACAGCACUGUGCAAACACGAAAGUGGACGUAUACGGUGUGACGCCUGCCCGGUGCCGGAAGGUUAAUUGAUGGGGUCAGCGCAAGCGAAGCUCCUGAUCGAAGCCCCGGUAAACGGCGGCCGUAACUAUAACGGUCCUAAGGUAGCGAAAUUCCUUGUCGGGUAAGUUCCGACCUGCACGAAUGGCGUAAUGAUGGCCAGGCUGUCUCCACCCGAGACUCAGUGAAAUUGAACUCGCUGUGAAGAUGCAGUGUACCCGCGGCAAGACGGAAAGACCCCGUGAACCUUUACUAUAGCUUGACACUGAACAUUGAGCCUUGAUGUGUAGGAUAGGUGGGAGGCUUUGAAGUGUGGACGCCAGUCUGCAUGGAGCCGACCUUGAAAUACCACCCUUUAAUGUUUGAUGUUCUAACGUGGACCCGUUACCCGGGUUGCGGACAGUGUCUGGUGGGUAGUUUGACUGGGGCGGUCUCCUCCUAAAGAGUAACGGAGGAGCACGAAGGUUGGCUAAUCCUGGUCGGACAUCAGGAGGUUAGUGCAAUGGCAUAAGCCAGCUUGACUGCGAGCGUGACGGCGCGAGCAGGUGCGAAAGCAGGUCAUAGUGAUCCGGUGGUUCUGAAUGGAAGGGCCAUCGCUCAACGGAUAAAAGGUACUCCGGGGAUAACAGGCUGAUACCGCCCAAGAGUUCAUAUCGACGGCGGUGUUUGGCACCUCGAUGUCGGCUCAUCACAUCCUGGGGCUGAAGUAGGUCCCAAGGGUAUGGCUGUUCGCCAUUUAAAGUGGUACGCGAGCUGGGUUUAGAACGUCGUGAGACAGUUCGGUCCCUAUCUGCCGUGGGCGCUGGAGAACUGAGGGGGGCUGCUCCUAGUACGAGAGGACCGGAGUGGACGCAUCACUGGUGUUCGGGUUGUCAUGCCAAUGGCACUGCCCGGUAGCUAAAUGCGGAAGAGAUAAGUGCUGAAAGCAUCUAAGCACGAAACUUGCCCCGAGAUGAGUUCUCCCUGAGACUU